UAUUCUGAUCGGGGUGCAAUUGCAGUCUCACCAAGAGGUAACCAACAUCACACAUCAGAACUACCAAGCCUGGACUUGCACACAAAUCAAGAAUAGCAUCAGCCAACCGUCUCAGCAAACAGACAGCCUCUAAAUAUGCGUUUCUGCCAAGGCUUGACAGAGCUACUGACCCUUAUCAGCACCAUGGACACGGGCUUGCGUAUAUAAAGACAAUAGUAGUAACUUACUGCGCGAAUAAAAACACAUCACCGUCAAUACUAUCUUUAAAACAGCAAGCCAUCUCCAAACAUUGCUGUGGUCGGAUCUGGAAAAGAGAACUAUUCAGCUACUGAAAUGAAGGGAUUUCAAUUAAUUAAAGCUAACUGACUAGGGCAUACAUAUAAACAGGUCAGAAUUGCAAUGUACUAAAAACAAGAGCGGGUUUAGAUCAAUGAACAUAUCAAACAUCUACAGAAGCGGGAACCUGAAGCAACAUAUCGGACUGGACACUUCACCAAAGAAAGCAGGAUAGAGUAAACUGCUGCGUGUCUUUAACCACAAUACUGCUGAGCUUUGGGUCGUUGUUAAUUUAAACCGCUAUUUCUCAAACUAUUCAAAACUGAAAAGUCUUUAAUUUGAGAGCAACGCAUUAGCGUAUAAUCUAUGUUUAUAAAGACAAAAAAGUAAAAAAAAAACCCCAAAAACUGAGACAUUCUUUUGUAAAAACGGUUAAAGGUCUUUCGUUUAAUGCAAUUGCUGUGUCAGUGCUGUGGACAGCUCUAAGUAGCAAGUAGAUACCAGUCGGUGCUAGACUAUGUAGAUAGCUCCUGUGGUAUCUACUCUCAUUGUAGUCAAUUAUUGUAACGUUGCAGGUACGAGGAGUUCCAAAUGAUACCACACCAUCUGUUUCAGCACAUCAAGACACGGACAGCUCCUAGUGCAGUCUCAGCUGUUUCCAUCCUAGAACUGUGGACAGCUACAAAACCAAGCUGUGUAAUUAGGAACCGCGGCAAUUUCCAAAGGGAUCAUUCCACUGACAGCCAAGACAGUCUCAACAUAAAGACUCAGAAACAGUUCUUCUAGAAAAGCAAAACCAACAAAAGAAAGGAAGCGGACUUCUUGUACGUAUCCAGAAGGACUGAAAAGGACAAUUAGGAAUAGCACGCUCUGUUGAUGCAUCAAGUUGAUUCUACAUUUAACAGGUAACAUGAUCUAAUGAUGUCCCCACUGAUGCUGGCAGAGUCUUCCCUGUUGUUAAAAAACUUCCUUUAAACCCCAACAGCAUUGAAACAAAAAAAAAUAAAUAAAAAAAGCUCUUAACUUGUGAUCAACAUGAAGAACACCAGGUACAGCACAAAUGUGUCCAGCAUUCUCCAGAUACUGGUAUUCCACAUCCUUGUGCAAAUCUCACUGCCGACAUCCAGCUACAACACAGGCAGCAAGCGGGAGAUCACCGUGGAAGGGGACUUGAUGAUCGGAGGACUGUUCCCCGUUCACGAGAAAGGCGAGGGGACAGAGGACUGCGGAAAAAUUAACGAGCAACGAGGGAUUCAGAGAUUAGAGGCCAUGCUCCUAGCUUUGGAUGAGAUCAACAAAGAUGAGAAACUCCUGCCAGGCCUCAAGCUUGGAGCGCACAUCCUCGACACCUGCUCCAAGGACACAUAUGCCCUGGAACAAUCCCUGGAGUUUGUACGGGCUUCCAUGACCAAAGUGGACGAGACAGAGUAUAUCUGUCCUGACGGAUCCUAUGCUAUCCAUGAUGACUUUCCCUUGGCUAUCUCGGGAGUCAUUGGUGGAUCUUACAGUGACGUCUCCAUUCAGGUGGCAAACCUUUUGAGACUCUUUCAAAUCCCCCAGAUCAGCUACGCUUCCACCAGUGCCAAGCUGAGCGACAAGACCCGCUAUGACUACUUUGCCCGCACUGUGCCGCCGGACUUCUACCAGGCCAAAGCAAUGGCAGAGAUCUUGCGUUUCUACAACUGGACCUAUGUGUCCACUGUGGCUUCAGAGGGGGACUAUGGCGAAACUGGCAUUGAGGCCUUUGAGCAGGAGGCCCGGGCACGCCAGAUCUGUAUCGCCACUUCUGCCAAAGUGGGUCGCUCCAUGAACCGGAAGAGCUAUGAGACGGUCAUCAAAUCCCUGCAGCAGAAGCCCAACGCCCGGGUGGUUAUCCUUUUCACCCGCAGCGAGGAUGCCAGGGAGCUACUAGCAGCUGCCAUGCUCAUGAACGUGUCCUUCAUUUGGGUGGCAAGCGAUGGCUGGGGGGCGCAGGAGAGUGUGGUGAGGGGUAGCGAGCUAGUGGCAGACCGGGCCUUUACUAUCGAGCUGGCUUCGUAUCCCAUCAAGAAUUUUGCUGACUACUUUACCAGGCUGGAUCCCUACAACAAUACCCGCAAUCCCUGGUUCAGGGAGUUCUGGGAGCACCGCUUUCAGUGCAGCCUGCAGGAUCUGGCUUGCGGCCAGCGCUCACUCAUGGACGGCAAGUUCGAACAGGAGUCCAAGAUCAUGUUUGUGGUCAACGCCAUUUACGCCAUGGCUCACGCUCUGCACAACAUGCGCCAAGCCCUCUGCCCCAACUCCACCAAGAUCUGCGAUGCCAUGAAGCCCAUAAAUGGGAAGAGGUUUUACAAGGAAUUCAUUCUGAAAACAAAAUUUGAUGCUCCAUUCCGUCCAGCAGACACUGAAAACAUUGUACUCUUUGACGCCUUUGGCGACAGUAUCGGCCGCUACAACAUCUUCAACUUCCACAAAGUGGACGGCAGGUAUGUCUACGAAAAAGUAGGCUACUGGGCACAAGGCCUGACCCUGAACACCAGCCACAUUCCCUGGGCCAGCCACACAACCCCCACCUCUCAGUGCAGUGACCCCUGCAAGAAGAAUGAAGUGAAAAGCAUGCAGCCAGGCGAUGUCUGCUGCUGGCUCUGCAUCCCUUGCCAACCCUACCAGUUCCUGGUGGAUGAGUUUACCUGUAUGGACUGUGGCUUUGGUCGCUGGCCAACGGAAAACCUCACUAGCUGUUACAACCUACCUGAAGAGUACAUUCACUUUGAAGAUGCUUGGGCUAUUGGCCCUGUGGCCAUCUCCUGCCUGGGCUUCAUAUGCACCCUCUUUGUGAUCGCUGUCUUCCUGAAAAACAAUGACACCCCCGUCGUGAAGGCCUCGGGAAGGGAGCUUUGCUAUAUCCUGCUGUUGGGUGUCAUGAUGUGCUACAGCAUGACCUUCAUCUUCAUCGCCAAGCCUUCAUCUGUCGUCUGCACCCUCCGUCGUUUAGGCUUGGGCACUUCCUUUGCCGUGUGCUACUCAGCCCUACUUACCAAGACCAACCGGAUCGCCAGAAUCUUCAAUGGCGUCAAAGAUGGAGCACAGCGGCCCAGGUUUAUCAGCCCCGCCUCCCAGGUAGUUAUCUGCAUGGCGCUCAUCUCCUGCCAGCUCAUCGUGGUCAUUGUGUGGCUGCUCGUGGAGACGCCUGGCGUCCGCAAGGAGGUGGCUCCAGACAAGCGAGACGUGGUGACCCUGAAGUGCAACAACAAGGACACCAGCAUGCUCAUGUCCCUGACCUACAACAUGAUCCUCAUCAUUCUAUGCACCGUCUAUGCCUUCAAGACCAGGAAGUGCCCUGAAAACUUCAAUGAGGCAAAGUUCAUUGGCUUCACCAUGUACACCACCUGCAUCAUCUGGCUGGCUUUCCAACCUAUUUUCUAUGUCACUUCAAGUGAUUACAGGGUUCAGACCACCACUAUGUGUAUCUCGGUCAGUCUGAGCGGUACGGUGGUUUUGGGGUGCAUGUUUGUUCCGAAGACGCAUAUCAUCCUGUUUCAGCCCCAGAAGAAUGUUGCAAGUCAUCGCGUGGCAGUAAACCGAUUUAGUGUAACCGGCCCAGGCUCCAGCUAUUCUCACGGUUAGCCAAGAAUGUGCAUCUUUAUUCCCUGAGCAAAGGAAAAACAAACAAUUUCACUGCUUCAGCCUCCAACUUUGUGCCGACAGUCUGCAAUGGUCGAGAGGUGGUAGACUCAACAACCUCAUCCUUGUGAAAACUAUUAGAGACUUGCCCUGUCCAAAAAACAUAAAACAAACUAGUAAAAAAAAAAAAAAAAAGGAUAUUGAAAA